rnacentral:lncRNA from 1 species
AUGGAAGUUGGAAACUUAACUGAACAAAUAAAAGCUAACUAUCAAACUCACUACUAUGCCUGGAAGAUGUAUGGAUUCAAAGCUUUGGAUAGUUUUCAAGAACAAUUUGAAGAUUCAAAUUCAGAAGAAUUUCAAAAGGUUUCAAGAAUAUUUGUGACACUCAGAAGGGAUCCACAGAUUUACCAGAUUGUUAAAAGGUAUCAGGACAAAAAUAAGGUCUCUGCAACCUGUAUCUUCUCUUACCUAAUGGAAAAGGAGAAAAAGAAAGUAAUAAAUCCUUAGCAUUAUCAGCAUUAUCAUGCAACUGGUCUAUGUGAGGCAGAUGUUUUCGCUAAUAACUAAAUAGUAUUUUUUUCAUUAAUCCACUUAAAGACUUCUUUUAGGAUUUUUUCUUUUUCUUAUCAAGCUUUUUAAAUAUAUGCAA